UACGGAGGGUGCAAGCGUUAUCCGGAUUUACUGGGCUUAAAGGGUGCGUAGGUGGGUAGGCAAGUCAGUGGUGAAAUCUUCGGGCUUAACCCGGAAACUGCCAUUGAUACUAUUUAUCUUGAAUACUUUGGAGGUAAGCGGAAUAUGUCAUGUAGCGGUGAAAUGCUUAGAUAUGACAUAGAACACCAAUUGCGAAGGCAGCUUACUACACAGUUAUUGACACUGAGGCACGAAAGCGUGGGGAUCAAACAGG
rnacentral:rRNA from 1 species